rnacentral:sRNA from 1 species
AAAUCCUAGCUCCACUACUUAACUAGUAAUGUGGCCUAAAGUUAGUUAUUUUAUGUCUGAAUUUGUUUCCUUUUCUGUGAGAAGUAGAGAUGGAGAGCAGACUAAUGGCAAUUCCAAUGGCCUUGUACCGAUGCUGAGAGUAUAUAACAACACAGCUCGAUAUGUGGAUCAAGGUGGGAAUAAGCGUCCUGGGGCAUUUGCUAUUUACCUGGAGCCUUGGCAUUUAGACAUCUUUGAAUUCCUUGAUUUAAAGAAGAACACAGGAAAGGAAGAGCAGCGUGCCAGAGAUCUUUUCUUUGCUCUUUGGAUUCCGGAUCUCUUCAUGAAACGAGUGGAGACUAAUCAGGACUGGUCUUUGAUGUGUCCAAAUGAGUGUCCUGGUCUGGAUGAGGUUUGGGGAGAGGAAUUUGAGAAACUAUAUGCAAGUUAUGAGAAACAAGGUCGUGUCCGCAAAGUUGUAAAAGCUCAGCAGCUUUGGUAUGCCAUCAUUGAGUCUCAGACAGAAACAGGCACC